UACGAAGGGGGCUAGCGUUGCUCGGAAUCACUGGGCGUAAAGGGUGCGUAGGCGGGUCUUUAAGUCAGGGGUGAAAUCCUGGAGCUCAACUCCAGAACUGCCUUUGAUACUGAAGAUCUUGAGUUCGGGAGAGGUGAGUGGAACUGCGAGUGUAGAGGUGAAAUUCGUAGAUAUUCGCAAGAACACCCGUGGCGAAGGCGGCUCUCUGGGACGGUACUGACGCUGAGACGCGAAAGCGUGGGGAGCGAACAGG
rnacentral:rRNA from 1 species